CUUAACACAUGCAAGUCGAGGGGCAGCACAGGUAGCAAUACCGGGUGGCGACCGGCGCACGGGUGAGUAACGCGUAUGCAACUUACCUAUCAGAGGGGGAUAACCCGGCGAAAGUCGGACUAAUACCGCAUGAAGCAGGGGCCCCGCAUGGGGAUAUUUGCUAAAGAUUCAUCGCUGAUAGAUAGGCAUGCGUUCCAUUAGGCAGUUGGCGGGGUAACGGCCCACCAAACCGACGAUGGAUAGGGGUUCUGAGAGGAAGGUCCCCCACAUUGGUACUGAGACACGGACCAAACUCCUACGGGAGGCAGCAGUGAGGAAUAUUGGUCAAUGACCGAGAGGCUGAACCAGCCAAGUCGCGUGAGGGAUGAAGGUUCUAUGGAUCGUAAACCUCUUUUAUAAGGGAAUAAAGUGCGGGACGUGUCCCGUUUUGUAUGUACCUUAUGAAUAAGGAUCGGCUAACUCCGUGCCAGCAGCCGCGGUAAUACGGAGGAUCCGAGCGUUAUCCGGGUUUAUUGGGUUUAAAGGGUGCGUAGGCGGCCUUUUAAGUCAGCGGUGAAAGUCUGUGGCUCAACCAUAGAAUUGCCGUUGAAACUGGGGGGCUUGAGUAUGUUUGAGGCAGGCGGAAUGCGUGGUGUAGCGGUGAAAUGCAUAGAUAUCACGCAGAACCCCGAUUGCGAAGGCAGCCUGCCAAGCCAUUACUGACGCUGAUGCACGAAAGCGUGGGGAUCAAACAGGAUUAGAUACCCUGGUAGUCCACGCAGUAAACGAUGAUCACUAGCUGUUUGCGAUACACUGUAAGCGGCACAGCGAAAGCGUUAAGUGAUCCACCUGGGGAGUACGCCGGCAACGGUGAAACUCAAAGGAAUUGACGGGGGCCCGCACAAGCGGAGGAACAUGUGGUUUAAUUCGAUGAUACGCGAGGAACCUUACCCGGGUUUGAACGCAUUCGGACCGAGGUGGAAACACCUUUUCUAGCAAUAGCCGUUUGCGAGGUGCUGCAUGGUUGUCGUCAGCUCGUGCCGUGAGGUGUCGGCUUAAGUGCCAUAACGAGCGCAACCCUUGCCACUAGUUACUAACAGGUGAUGCUGAGGACUCUGGUGGGACUGCCAGCGUAAGCUGCGAGGAAGGCGGGGAUGACGUCAAAUCAGCACGGCCCUUACAUCCGGGGCGACACACGUGUUACAAUGGCGUGGACAAAGGGAGGCCACCUGGCGACAGGGAGCGAAUCCCCAAACCACGUCUCAGUUCGGAUCGGAGUCUGCAACUCGACUCCGUGAAGCUGGAUUCGCUAGUAAUCGCGCAUCAGCCAUGGCGCGGUGAAUACGUUCCCGGGCCUUGUACACACCGCCCGUCAAGCCAUGGGAGCCGGGGGUACCUGAAGUCCGUAACCGCAAGGAUCGGCCUAGGGUAAAACUGGUGACUGGGGCUAA
rnacentral:rRNA from 1 species